rnacentral:rRNA from 1 species
UACGUAGGGCGCAAGCGUUUGUCCGGAAUUAUUGGGCGUAAAGAGCUCGUAGGCGGUUUGUCGCGUCUGCUGUGAAAACCCGAGGCUCAACCUCGGGCCUGCAGUGGGUACGGGCAGACUAGAGUGCGGUAGGGGGAGAUUGGAAUUCCUGGUGUAGCGGUGGAAUGCGCAGAUAUCAGGAGGAACACCAAUGGCGAAGGCAGAUCUCUGGGCCGUAACUGACGCUGAGGAGCGAAAGCAUGGGGAGCGAACAGG